rnacentral:rRNA from 1 species
GAUGAACGCUAGCGGCAGGCCUAACACAUGCAAGUCGAGGGGUAGCAGGAUUAAGCUUGCUUAAUUGCUGACGACCGGCGCACGGGUGCGUAACGCGUAUGCAACCUACCUUAUACUGGGGUAUAGCCCGGAGAAAUUCGGAUUAAUACCCCGUAAUAUAGUUGAAUGGCAUCAUUUGAUUAUUAUAGCUACGGCGCUUAAUGAUGGGUGUGCGGCUGAUUAGAUAGUUGGCGGGGUAACGGCCCACCAAGUCUACGAUCAGUAGCUGAUGUGAGAGCAUGAUCAGCCACACGGGCACUGAGACACGGGCCCGACUCCUACGGGAGGCAGCAGUAAGGAAUAUUGGUCAAUGGACGCAAGUCUGAACCAGCCAUGCCGCGUGAAGGAUUAAGGUCCUCUGGAUUGUAAACUUCUUUUAUUUGGGACGAAAAAGGGCCUUUCUAGGUCAACUGACGGUACCAGAUGAAUAAGCACCGGCUAACUCCGUGCCAGCCGCCGCCGUAA